rnacentral:misc_RNA from 1 species
GAAAUGCGAUAAGUAAUGUGAAUUGCAGAAUUCAGUGAAUCAUCGAAUCAUUGAACGCACAUUGCGCCCGCCAGCACUCUGGCGGGCAUGCCUGUCCGAGCGUCAUUUCAACCCUCAGAACCCCUUGCGGGAUCUGGCGUUGGGGAUUGGCAUCCAGCCAGCCCCGAAAUCUAGCGGCGGUCCCUCCGCGACCUCCCCUGUGCAGUAGCGAUACCUCGCAGCGGGACAGCGGUCUGACCACGCCGUAAAACCCCCAACUUCUCAAGGUUGACCUCGAAUCAGGUAGGAAUACCCGCUGAACUUAAGC